GGUAUUUUGACUAUACGAAGGUACUGAAAUAAGUCUUUAAUUGGGUGCUAAGGGAAUGGUUUAACAAAGAUUAGCUUUCUUUAUGUAUAAAAUAGAAUUUAAUUUAAAAAUGAAAAAGUUUUUAUUUAUUUUUGGGACAAGAAGACCCUAUGAAUUUUUUUUUGAAUAUUUAUGUAAUUUUUAAUUUAAUUAAAUUAUUAUAAUCUUUGAAAUUGGUUGGGGUGAUUUUUAAAGAAUAUUUAUCUUUAAAUGAUUAUUAAGAUUGAUCCAAAAUUUUUGAUUUUUUGAAAAAAAUACUCUAGGGAUAACAGCGUUAUUAUUUUGGAUAGUUCAUAUAGAUAAAAUAGAUUGCGACCUCGAUGUUGGAUUAAGAUUCUUUUAUAAUGAAGUAGUUAUAAUAAGGAGUUUGCUCAACUUUUAAAAUCUU
rnacentral:rRNA from 1 species